rnacentral:rRNA from 1 species
GUGGGGAAUCUUGCGCAAUGGGCGAAAGCCUGACGCAGCCAUGUCGCGUGAAUGAUGAAGGUCUUAGGAUUGUAAAAUUCUUUCACCGGGGACGAUAAUGACGGUACCCGGAGAAGAAGCCCCGGCUAACUUCGUGCCAGCAGCCGCGGUAAUACGAAGGGGGCUAGCGUUGCUCGGAAUUACUGGGCGUAAAGGGCGCGUAGGCGGAUCGUUAAGUCAGGGGUGAAAUCCCAGAGCUCAACUAUGGAACUGCCCUUGAUACUGGCGAUCUUGAGUGUGAGAGAGGUAUGUGGAACUCCGAGUGUAGAGGUGAAAUUCGUAGAUAUUCGGAAGAACACCAGUGGCGAAGGCGACUCACUGGCCCAAUACUGACGCUGAGGCGCGAAAGCGUGGGGAGCAAACAGGAUUAGAUACCCGUGUAGUCC